CCUCUUGAGGUGAAAGGUUGUCUAUAUGGUGGUCUAUAUAAGGCACUGCUCAAAGCCUGUCCCUCUGAGAUCUCUGAGAGCUCAGAUCAUGUGAGACACUCUUCACACCCAACAUGUGUGAAAAAAAUUAUGCAAAUUUUUACAACACAUGUAUAGUUGAAAAAAGUGAUGUAAACUUUCAUAAUAUACAUGAACAUAAAUGCUUAACUUUAAGUAUUGAAAGUUCACAAGGACCCUUACAUUAUCAGUGCGCAUGGAGUAACCAAACCAUCUUUGCAAAUGUAAGUCUCUCUUUUAAAGAGAAUCAAGAUCAAAACUUGCCUUACCUUGGGGUGUUUGUUUUCAAUACACUAAUUUUGCUCUUGAGUGGAAUAAUCAACAUAUUGCUGUGUAAAAGACUGAUAAGAAUGAGAAGUGAAUUGCAUGCAGAAGUUUCUGACCCAUCUCCAUCAGACACACCAGAGCUUGAUAUCAUUUCUUCUCUGAAUCAAGAUAGUCUGAACACAAACUACACAACCCUACAAUUCCCUGAAAACAAUGCCAGUAGAGAGAGUUCAGAGACUGAACCAAGAAUAAUGAGAAAGGAUACAAUCUACUCCAGCCUUAAAUGUCAAAUGUCAAUGUCAGACAUCACUGAAGAAAGCUAAUAUAUUUAUUAUACGCCGCAUAUUGCUUUGAACUGCUGCACGGUUGUUAUUGCCUUUUUUUUUAAUGAGGAUAAAACCUUAUGCUUUACUAUGGAUGUUUUUAGCUUCUUUUUGCAACAUUAUUAUUUAACUACUUUAAAGUUGCUGCAGUGGUUGUUUCAUCUUAUAGUCCUUGAUCAGUAUUUAACUGAUAUUAUUAAGACUGGACAUAAUCAAUAUUAAAACUGAUAUGCACUCGCACUAAAACUAAGCACAACUUGGAAUCAUUUAAGAAUUAAUAUGUCAAAGCUGAAGGGCUCAGAACAUACUUUCCUUGUUUGCCUUCUUUGUGUCUUGUAAUGGGGUCAGAGGAAAAUAUGCAUACAUAUUUAAUGAGCUGUUGAGACCGUUGUACAUGCCCACAAAAACCAGAAACUAAGAGAGGAGCAUCUUGUGGUUUCAAAGACAGGAAGGAACACAAAGUGGCCUAUAUAAGUUUACUUAAUGUUAAUUGUUGUAGCAUAUCAAUACAGAACAAAAAGGCCACCAUAAAAUCAAAACUAAAUGUAAAAAUUAAGAAUCCAUAUGUAAUGCAAAAUUUGCUAAAUAUCAUUAUUCAGAUUAGUUCAGAUUAUUCGGAUUAGAUUUAUAUUAUUCAGAUGAGGUUUGUCUGUCACUUUUAUUCCACCUAAGUAUGUCUGGCCUUUUUUUAAAUAACCUUUUGUUUUCCUAUUUGUAAAAUAAAUGUUAGUAUUUUACAUUGACCUAAAAAAUGUAGGCUACCUUGUUUACUGAUAGUCCCACUUUUUGAGCAUAAUCCUGAAUAUUGGCAUUUCCAUCUCAGAUUGUUGUAAAUUUUACACACAGAUAAGGUUGAUGCCUUUUUUUCAAAGAAGACCCUUGGCAAAUGUAUUUAUCUGUUUAGCCAUUGGUGUAAUUUAAUUUAUCAAACUUGUUUGUGUAUGUCCUGAAGAGCAUCUAUACAAUCUGUUUUAAGAGCAUUUUAAUCUCUUUUAAAUGUGUAAGCAGUUCUCAUUUCUGCAUAAUUCAGGCAUUAAAUUAAAUUUAAUUAAUUUGCAAGACAUGAAAACAUGUUUGAAAAAAGGAAAAGCCAUGGUAGUCAUGUACUUCUCCCAUAAACCAUAAAUAAACACGGCUUAACAUUAUUCUAAUAAGAAGACAGUCAUGAAAGAACAUUGUUACAUGAAACAAAAGUUAGAAGGUGCAGAUUAUGUCAUUGCUUAUUCCAUAUCAUAA